rfam:Scleropages formosus scaffold23863, whole genome shotgun sequence.
ACUCAUGGUUGCUAUCACCCUGAAUACGGCCGAACUUGUCUAAUCUCGGAAGCUAAGCAGCGUUGGGCCUCGUUAGUCUUUAGAUGGGAGACCGCUUGGAAAUACUUGGAGUUGUAAGCU